UCUCCGUUGGUGAACCAGCGGAGGGAUCAUUACUGAGUGAGGGUUUAACCGCCCGACCUCCAACCCUUUUGUGAACCACCUCGUUGCCUCGGGGGCGACCCUGCCGUGCUCUCGGGCGCGGUGGGGGCUCCCGGUGGCCCCUCAAACCCUGCGUAACCAAGUCGUCGGAGUAUAAACAAAUCAAUCAAAACUUUCAACAACGGAUCUCUUGGUUCGGGCAUCGAUGAAGAACGCAGC
rnacentral:misc_RNA from 1 species